UACGGAGGGUGCGAGCGUUGUUCGGAAUUACUGGGCGUAAAGGGCGCGUAGGCGGCCGUUUGCGUCGGAUGUGAAAGCCCGGGGCUCAACCUCGGAACGGCAUUCGAUACGGGACGGCUGGAGACCGGGAGAGGAGAGUGGAAUAGCCAGUGUAGAGGUGAAAUUCGUAGAUAUUGGCUGGAACACCGGUGGCGAAAGCGGCUCUCUGGCCCGGUUCUGACGCUGAGGCGCGAAAGCGUGGGGAGCAAACAGG
rnacentral:rRNA from 1 species